rnacentral:tRNA from 1 species
GCUGGGAAGGCUUAAUGGUAGAGUGCUUGCCUAGCAUGCAGGAAGCCCUGGGUUCAAUUCCUCAGUACCACA